GUGGAUUAGUUACCCGGGUAGUCCACGCCGUAAACGAUGGGCACUAGGUGUUCGGGGUAUUGACCCCCUGAGUGCCGCAGCUAACGCAUUAAGUGCCCCGCCUGGGGAAUACGGCCGCAAGGUUAAAACUCAAAGGAAUUGACGGGGGCCCGCACAAGCGGUGGAGCAUGUGGUUUAAUUCGACGCAACGCGAAGAACCUUACCUGGGCUAGACAACAUCGGACAGCCCCAGAAAUGGGGUCUCCCCGCAAGGGGCCGGUGGUUCAGGUGCUGCAUGGCUGUCGACAGCU
rnacentral:rRNA from 1 species